rnacentral:rRNA from 1 species
GACAGAGGGUGCAAACGUUGUUCGGAAUUACUGGGCGUAAAGCGCGUGUAGGCGGCCCUGCAAGUCGGAUGUGAAAUCCCACGGCUCAACCGUGGAAGUGCAUUCGAAACUGCAGGGCUAGAGUCCUGGAGAGGAAGGUGGAAUGCUUGGUGUAGAGGUGAAAUUCGUAGAUAUUGGGAAGAACACCGGUGGCGAAGGCGGCUCACUGGCUCGUUUCUGACGCUCAGGCACGAUAGCGUGGGGAUCAAACAGG